GGGCCGGGCGGGGGGCGAGGGCCGGCCUGCCCCUCCUCCCGGCCCAGCAGCGCUGCCCUCGGCUCGCCGGGGCCAGCGCAGACCCAGCGCCUGAAGGAGCCAGGAGGGGAGGCGGGAACGCCCUCCGGCAACUGCAGCAGCAUCGCCCGUCGCCUUUGUAUCGGCAAACUGCCUCCAUUUUGAGCAGCUGCAGGCACUGAGCCCACGCUGGAGGGCAAACUUCAGCUUCCCAAGGCGAGGAAGAAAAAUCAUCGGGAGAUCGGUGUUAGCGCUGACACAGUAUUGUUAGUGCGCCCAGUUGUACACCACUCCUGUGGGCAGAGUAAGCUACACAUUCUAUACCAAAUCCUGAAGAAUGCAUUAGAGAGACUGGCUUGAGGUAGAGACUGUCCUUACAAUGCAUCCAAGAAGCAAACUUUGGAAUCUUUGUUCCAGAAAACAAGCCAAAACUACCUCAGAGCUGGGUGAGGUUAUACAUCUCUGCACAGAACCACGAGUGCAGCAACACGAGGAUCUGCAAGAAGGAAGCAUACAGCCUGCACAGUGAAGCCUUAUUUGCUAUGGCUACAGAAAGUCUUUAAAGCUCUGCAGUUUAUUUUCUAGUUUGCAGUGCAGUAAUAAAGGAGUUUGUCUUUUUUUGAAAUAAGUAAUUUAUUUAUAUGAAAUAAGUCAUUUAUGAGCUAAGAGCCACUGGCACUCUAGGCCCCCCUCCUCUCCUACUGAUGAGGAAGCCGGGCUCUUCCUUACUCUCCUUCUCA